rnacentral:rRNA from 1 species
CCUACGGGAGGCAGCAGUGGGGGAUAUUGCACAAUGGGGGGAACCCUGAUGCAGCGACGCCGCGUGAGCGAUGAAGUAUUUCGGUCUGUAAAGCUCUAUUAGCAGGGAAGAAAAUGAGGGUACCUGAAUAAGAAGCCCCGGCUAAUUACGUGCCAGCAGCCGCGGUAAUACGGAGGGGGAAAGGGUUAUCCGGUUAUACUGGGUGGAAAGGGAGCGUAGACGGCAAUGCAAGUAGGGUGGGAAAGGCAAGGGGUCAAACUUUGGACUGCUAUGGAAACUGUGCUGCUAGAGUGUCGGAGAGGCUAGUGGAAUUCCUAGUGUAGCGGUGAAAUGCGUAGAUAUUAGGAGGAACACCAGUGGCGAAGGCGGCUUGCUGGAC